rnacentral:rRNA from 1 species
AGAGUGAACGCUGGCGGCAGGCCUAACACAUGCAAGUCGAACGGCAGCACAGCAGAGCUUGCUCUGUGGGUGGCGAGUGGCGGACGGGUGAGGAAUACGUCGGAAUCUGCCUUUUUGUGGGGGAUAACGUAGGGAAACUUACGCUAAUACCGCAUACGACCUACGGGUGAAAGCGGAGGACCUUCGGGCUUCGCGCAGAAAGAUGAGCCGACGUCGGAUUAGCUAGUUGGAGGGGUAAUGGCCCACCAAGGCGACGAUCCGUAGCUGGUCUGAGAGGAUGAUCAGCCACACUGGGACUGAGACACGGCCCAGACUCCUACGGGAGGCAGCAGUGGGGAAUAUUGGACAAUGGGCGCAAGCCUGAUCCAGCCAUGCCGCGUGUGUGAAGAAGGCCUUCGGUUGUAAAGCACUUUGACGGAAGAAAGCAAUCGGUUAAUACCCGGUUGUCAUGACGGUACCGUAAGAAUAAGCACCGGCUAACUUCGUAGCCAGC